GGGGAACCGCCUGAACUGAAACAUCUAAGUAGGGCGAGGAAGAGACAUCAAACGAGAUUCCGUAAGUAGUGGCGAGCGAACGCGGAAGAGGGCAAACCGUGAGUAGAAAUACUUGCGGGGUACGGACUGCAUUUAGGACUUGAGUUGUUAACCGAACGGCAUGGGAAGGCCGGUCAGAGAGUGUGAGAACCACGUAGGUGAAAACGACAAGAGCCGAGCAAGUUCCAGAGUACGGCCAGACACGUGAAACCUGGUCGGAAGAUGGGGGGACCACCCUCCAACCCUAAAUACUACCCAGUGACCGAUAGCGUAUAGUACUGUGAAGGAAAGGUGAAAAGCACCCCGGGAGGGGAGUGAAAAAGAACCUGAAACCCUGUGCCUACAAGCACCUAGAGCACGUCAAUGUGUGAUAGGGUACUUUUUGUAGAACGGUCCGGCGAGCGAUUGUAUGCAGCAAGGUUAAGGACUUAAGGUCUGGAGCCGAAGCGAAAGCGAGUUUGAAAAGGGCGUUAAGUUGCAUACAAUGGGCCCGAAACCGGGUGACCUACCCAUGGUCAGGUUGAAGUGGAAGUAAAAUUCCAUGGAGGACCGAACCGACCUCCGUUGAAAAGGCGGCGGAUGAACUGUGGGUAGCGGAGAAAUUCCAAUCGAACCCGGAGAUAGCUGGUUCUCCCCGAAAUAGUUUUAGGACUAGCCUCAAGUUAGAUACCUGGAGGUAAAGCACUGAAUAGCCUAGCGGCCGAGAGGUUAGCGAAGCUUAUCAAACUCAGAAUGCCAGAGUAUUGAUGCUUGGGAGUCAGACAGUGUCAGAUAAAUGUCAUUGUCAAAAGGGAAACAGCCCAGAUCUACAGCUAAGGUCCCAAAGUCAGGUUAAGUGGAAAACGAUGUGAAGAUACGCAGACAACCAGGAUGUUGGCUCAGAAGCAGCCACUCAUUCAAAGAGUGCGUAAUAGCUCACUGGUCGAGCGUCUUUGCGCGGAGAAUUUAACGGGGCUAAACCUGACACCGAAGCUUAGGCAAUACAGCAAUGUAUUGGGUAGGGGAGCGUUGUAUACGCGGUGAAACAGUAGCGCAAGCGGCUGUGGAGUGUAUAGAAGUGAGAAUGCCGGAAUGAGUAGCGCGAAUGCAGUGAGAAUCUGCAUGGCCGAAAGCCUCAGGUUUCUGGAGGAAGGUUCGUCCGCUCCAGGUUAGUCGGGAGCUAAGGUGAGGCCUAACGGCGUAGCCGAUGCACAGACGGUAGAGAUUCCGUCACCACCAAAAGAGUUAAACACAGGGACACAUUUGAAGUCUCGGAGCCGGGUGUUGGUUCCGGUAGCGAUCGAGGGAAGUUAGUACCGAAGUCCGGGAUGGAAGAUGGCGAGAAAAGCUGUGUGUAUUUCUGCGGUGCCCGUACCGCAAACCGACACAGGUAGGUAGGAAGAAGAUUCUAAGGCCAACGGGAGAAGGGUUGUUAAGGAACUCGGCAAGUUGACCCCGUAACUUCGGAAUAAGGGGUGCUCACGAGAGUGAGCCGCAGAGAAUAGGCCCAGGCAACUGUUUACCAAAAACACAGGUUUGUGCUAAAUCGAAAGAUGACGUAUACGAGCUGACGCCUGCCCGGUGCUGGAAGGUUAAGAGGAGAUGUGCAAGCAUUGAAUCGAAGCCCCAGUGAACGGCGGCCGUAACUAUAACGGUCCUAAGGUAGCGAAAUUCCUUGUCAGGUAAG
rnacentral:rRNA from 1 species